AAUGAGGACAAAAAGUUUCGCAGGUCAAAAAGAGUGUCUGAAAUAUAAUGGGAAAUAAACCCGAAAAAAUAGUCUACCAAUCGCUACCAGAUAGCUAUUUAGAUGAGGAAUCGAGAGCUGUGUGAGCAAUGAAAUUUUUUACAAGGAAAGCAUAUAUACUGGUUUAAAUCUCUAUGACUUUCGGAAAUAAACACUCCUGUAACUUCUUUUUCUCCUUCUUAUAAAUCAAAAAUUAACCUGCUGUAGAAGGCAGGUUCUCGUUGAAUAAUUAUAUAAAAUU